UAUCAGUUGGUUGUAUUACUUUUUCUUUGGUUUAUUUGUUCUUCUCAAAAUAUUUUGGGCGUGUUUCAUUGAUAUGAACGUGGCUGGGCGAAUGGCCCAAUAUGAGUUGGCUUUUCGGCCUCUUACUUCUGCUGCCGCUGCUGUUUGGGGACAGCUCUACAAGACAUUUGUUUAUAAAUCUUCGUAACAUGACACUUUUGGCAAUGAAAUACAAAAUUAUGUUCAAAUCUUGUGAAUAUGUCGCAGCGGCAAAACA
rnacentral:sRNA from 1 species